UUUUGAUUAUCCCGAGCGGCCUGCUCGUGGCCACACGAUCCCGCAGCCCACGCGCUAUCCGACGAGGUCCCAGCACACCCCACCGACAGCCUCUCUCUUUCUCUCGACAAGGUCGCAGCACACCCCACCCACCCUACACACGACUUCUCUCCCGACCCGCGUCUCUCUAUUCUCUCUCCCCCCACCGAUCUGGAUCCAAGGGAGUUCUGUGGCCUUUCCCUCGACGCCGGCCACCAGAAGCCCCCCAGCAGCCGGCCACCAGGAGCCCGAACUAGCCGGCCACCACGCUUCACCGGCGCAUCGGCGGAGGGGAGUACCGCCCUGUGUGGCUUUUCCCCGAGGUCCUUGUCGCACCACAACUAGCCCAGUCCACCACGGCAUCCCUUCAGCGCAGAGCGAUGGGCUUUGUUUGAUUCAGGGACAACGACGGAAGGAGGAGACAAAUUCAUGACUGAGUAGAAGAUUUGUUUGCUUAUGUACAGACAGCCAAGUACACUGAACAUUUUCCUACGGUGGUGAAAGUCGAACUGAAUACGUUGAACUGAUGUGACCGAAUUCAUGCGGUUGCAUAAGCAAAGCUGGGAUCAAUCUCCAGCUCCGGCCGUCGAUCAAAUCCACAGAUUACCUUUGUAGCCAUAGCUUUUGCAGGAUGAUGAAUAGACCUAGCUGCAGGGCUGACAGAUAAAUCGGCUGUUGAAAGAGCAGUCCGUCUCAAAGUAACAAGGCCAGCGAACAGUAAAAAAUGUAUGAGCAAAAGAAGAGCCAUGCUUAACAACGCAUAUAGGGCAUCCCGUCGACGCACACACGGGCAUCAGUUUUUGUUGGCAUCUAUAGUGUUUUGGUUGCACACAUAAUCAUUCUCAGUUGGUUAAGUUAUGCACACGUCGAUUAUUUGUUGUUGGCAUCUAGUGGUUCUAGUUGCACAUAUAGUCAUUCUUUGUCGAAUACGAUCGUUGAAGGAGAAUUGGGAUCUGGGUGUAAGUUGAUAUGUUGUUUGCUAUUUUUUGU